AUCUCUAGCUUCUAAAGCCUUAACCAUAAGCCUCAGGUUUUCAGGGCUUGGAACUAUAAGCCUCUGAGUCUGUG
rnacentral:pre_miRNA from 1 species